GUAAGGUGCAAGCGUUAUCCGGAAUUAUUGGGCGUAAAGCGUUCGUAGGCGUUUUGAUAAGUCUUCUGUUAAAUCCACCCGCUCAACGGGUGACUCGUGGAGGAAACUAUCAAAAUAGAGGAUGGUAGGGGCAACUGGAAUGUCGCAUGUAGGGGUAAAAUCCGUUGAUAUGCGAUGGAACACCAAAAGCGAAGGCAGGUUGCUGGACCAUUUCUGACGCUGAGGAACGAAAGCGUGGGUAGCGAACAGGAUUAGAUACCCUGGUAGUCCACGCCGUAAACGAUGGAUACUCGAUGUAGGGAGGAAUCGACCCCCUUUCUGUGUCUAAGCUAACGCGUUAAGUAUCCCGCCUGGGGAGUACGGUCGCAAGAUUA
rnacentral:rRNA from 1 species